GCGGGUGUAACUCAGAUGGUAGAGUAUUGGCCUUCCAAGCCAACUGUCGAGGGUUCGAACCCCUUCGCCCGCUCCA
rnacentral:tRNA from 1 species